ACCUUUUGGCAAUGGAUCACUUGCCUCUCGCAUCGAUGAAGAACGCAGCGAAAUGCGAUACGUAAUGUGAAUUGCAGAAUUCAGUGAAUCAUCGAAUCUUUGAACGCCUAUUGCGCUCUCUGGUAUUCCGGAGAGCCUCCUGGUUUGAGUAUCAGUAAACACCUCAAAUCCCUCUACUUGUUGGAGGAAUUUGGACUUGAGCACUCCCAACUUUUCGAAAGAGAAGGCGGGUUGCUUGAAAUGCAGGUGCAGCUAGAUUCUUUCUUCUGAGCUAUAAGCAUACUUAUUUAAUCCCGUCAAACGGAUUAUUACUUUUGCUGCAGCUAACAUAAAGGUUGAAGAGUCGCUAUGGCUGACUGAUGCAGGAUUUAACAUGUCGCGCAAGCGAUCUGUAAACUCGAUCUCAAAUCAAGCAAGACUACCCGCUGAACUUAAGCAUAUCAAUAAGCGGAGGCU
rnacentral:misc_RNA from 1 species